rnacentral:lncRNA from 1 species
CGAGUAUGACAAGUCUCAAGUCAUUUAGUGUUGGACACUAAGACAAACACAUAGGUGCUCGAAAGAGUAAUUGAGUACACUGAACAACGAUCAAAAGAGAGUUCAAACAUACAUGUCAUGUAAGAACUCGAUAGUUGCAAUAUGCAAAGUAGUCAUUUGACCUGAGGCAUCAUAGAUGUCUAAUGGUUAGGUCCUUAAUCUUUGAUCAUGUUAAAUGGCAUUCCAUUGGAGUGUCCACGGCAUUGUUGGGAUCAAGCUAUCUAGUCAUGUAGGCAUAUGAAUGUACAACAAGGGAUCUCUAACCUUCCAUGGUGGAAGGAGAAUACUCUAAGAUAUGAUUCGGGAGUCUUUGGCCAAAGCGUAUGAAUAUGACUUAGGAAGUUUGUUCCAAAUCAUGUUCAAUUGAAUCAUAUAGAGAAGUAUUACAUUGGAUAGUAGACAUCAAACAAACUAUCACUUAAACAAUGUGAUUAAGAGUAUUGUAUUAGAGAAGGACCGUAUUGCAUUGUAAUUGUAACUGGAUAGGUUCUCCAACCAAUUCUACUUAGCUUGGGUAACCAUGACAUACAGCUAGGUGUCACUCAUGGUUUGUGGAAGCCCUAAUGAUUAGCAAACACUAAUUUUAAGGGAGAAUUGAAAUGUGGUUUCAAUUCACAAUUGAUCAUCAAGAGUAACAAUCGCCCACUACCUCGCUGAAUGGAACCUAAUGGAUCGUACACCGAGUAAGGAUGAUAGUGAAGAAAUAAAUAAGAUGGAUAUGCAAUUAAAUUGUUUAAUUGAAAAAUGGUCAAGAUUAAUUAAUUAGUUAAUUAAUUAUACGAAAUGUUCGUAUUAGGCUUUUAAGUUGGUAUUGGGCUUCGGGGCCUAAAAGCGUUUGGUCCACAAGGCCCAUUACGUUUAAGUUGUAUGAUAACUAAAACAAAAUGGGCAAAUUAGCCCAAUAACAAGGUAAGGCCGGCCAUAGGGUGAGGGGUUGCAAAUUUGGAUUAAUUACAAGUUUGCCACUCACUUGAAAUGAAGUAUAAAAUCAAGUUUAUAGCUUUAUUUCUCAUUAGGGUUUUUCUUGGUGAAAUGAGGUGAAACACUUUCUCUCAUUUUCUCUAAAGAGGCCGGCCACUUAGAGGGGAUUUAGCUAGCAAUCUUUUCUUCUCUAAGUCAUCCAUUUUCAUCUUCACACUUCAUCCUUGGUGUGGAGACUUAGAGACAUCAAGCUUUUGAUGUUUUGGAGAACUAAUCAUCAAAUCCUCAAAGAAGAAAAGGAGCACUAAAAGGAGGAAAAUCACAAGGAAGAUCCAAGGAGAAUGGAGGUGACUUGAAGGCCCUCCACUUGGGUGAAUCCCUUGUGUAAACAAGGAUGAGCUUCAAGGGUAAAGAAUCUCUAAAUUCUUAAUUCUCUUUAAUGUUGUUAAAGAGUCUUUUGGUUCACCAUAUACUAGGCUUUGAAAGUCAUGGGUUUUAUGAAUUGUUUUUUAAUGCAUGCCUACUUUAAUGUGUUAAUAGUUUGCAUAUGUAUUCGAAUGUUCUUACUUGUUCUUAGUUAGGACAAAAUUUUUCCUUCAAAAAGGAGGUCUGAAAAGGGGAAAAGCUCAAAGCCUUGCCAAAGCCCAGAAGGCAGAAAAGGUCUUUCCCGACUAGGUGUAGAUCAUUUGCACCACUUGCUCACCUGCCCAGAGACCAAGUGGUAUAAACCAGCCAGUUAAUUAGCCCAAAAGCACUUUACAGUGGCAAUACAAGUAAAUAGCUGAUGAGUCAUUACCUUCAAGCUGCAUUCGGGCAAGAUUACUGCUACAAGAGGCCAAACCGAAGUGUCUAUAAAAGAAGAAAGAGAAAUCAGAGAUAAAGACACUCAAUCAAACAAACAAAUACAACCACAAACUCUGUUCAAGCUAGAUUUGCCUUCAAACGAAGCUGUAGUCAGCCCAAGCCUUCAUCCCUUUCGGGAUAAACUCUCACCAAAAGCCUUUGUAAUAGCUCUGCUACCUUGUCCUAAGCUUGCUGUAGUAUCGAUCUCUUUCUGUAAACUCAUCUCCCUACCCCCCUUUCUAAAGCUCUUAAACCCCUUGAUAAACCCCAAAGAUAGGAAGUUGCAAGACGAUCAGCCUUGCCUGACAAGGUGAAACCUUGCCCGACCCUUUUUUGUUUUGUCUUUUCAUUCAUUAGCCUAGCAAUAUGUUGUAUACUUCCAGAUGUAUUCAAGUUAUUUCUAGUAAGAUGACGAUUAAAAGACUCUCUCAGUUCUUGAAUCCGAUUUGAAUAUGUCUCCACAGUUUAAAUCAGAUCUAAGUUCUAAGCUCUCGGGCAUGUAAGACUGAUCAUUCAAAAGCCCUUGGUCUUAAGGCAUAAAAAAAGAACCUUAUGUGGACUUAACCCAUCCACGACAAGCUUUAAUAAACUAGAAGUCCGAAGUUUCUUGGGGCGCAGGUAAUCGAUCUAUCUCUUAGUUUUAUUUAUAUUAUAUUAUGAUUACAAUAAAACGUUUGAGUAUAGAAGGAAUUCUGAUGGGAAGCCUCAAGGCCUAUAUCUAAGUCCCUACAAUGGAACCUAUUUGGAUUCAUUCUGCUCUUCGGGCUCGGAUAAUCAGAAGUAUAAUAGUUAUAACCCUUCUACAAUCAAUGAAACAGACAUCGUAUAUUCGAGUGCUGGGUUAGUUCUUGAUUGGAAGCUUUAAGUCCUACACCUAAGGCCCCACAAAGGCACCUAUCAUAACUAACACAGUCUCUUGGGUAUAUGUACAACUAAAACUCAACAUCCAUUUUACAUCUGCCAUGCUAAAGAUGGUAGUGGUACGCCUGAGCAAUUAAAAGUUAAUCUUGAUUGUGAGCCUCAAAGCCUAUACCUAAGGCCCUACAAAGGCACCUUUCAAAGUUAACUCUGUCCUUAUCUUCAGCCUUGCCCGACAAGCCCGCUAGUGAAGCAGAAGCCCGACAGAAAGCCUAAACUGACG